rnacentral:rRNA from 1 species
AUGGCCGCCGCCGCCGCCAUGGCGCGCAGGCUGCUCUCCCCCGCGGCCUCCACCGCCUCCGCGGCCGCCGCCCGCCUCCUCCUCUCCCGCCACCUCUCCUCCGCCCCUUCCUCCUUCCCGCGCGGCGCCGGCAGCCGCGCCCCGGCGGCGCUGAUGGACAUGCUCCGCCCGGCGGCCGUCGCCCCCUCCUCCUUCCAUCAGCUGAUCCGCAAUGCUGGGAUAUCGACCACAAGGAGCCUUCUUGCUGAUGAUGCUAUGGUCCCUGUUUCUUCCCCGUUGUCGUCUCCGUUGGGGGCUGCGGAAGAGACCGACAAGACGGGGGCAGUGGUGAAGCGGACGAAAGUUCAGGCCAUCAAGAAGGACAUCAAGCAGAGCCCCAAGAAGGUGAAUCUGGUAGCCAAGCUGGUUCGAGGAAUGCGUGUGGAAGAUGCCCUUUUACAGUUGCAAGUGACGGUUAAAAGGGCUGCGAAAACAUUGUACCAGGUGAUCCAUUCUGCUCGUGCGAACGCAGCUCACAACCAUGGACUGGAUGCAGAUAAACUUAUUGUUGAAGAGGCUUUCGUGGGAAAAGGACUUUAUCUCAAGAGGCUGUCUUACCACGCCAAAGGUAGGUGUGGUGUCAGGGAGAGACCUAGGUGCAGGCUGACGGUGGUGGUCAGAGAGGCCACGGCCGAGGAGGAAGCCAAGAUUGCGAAACUCAGGGUCAUGAACUACAAGAAGCUCACCCGGAAGGAGAAGCAGCUCAUGCCGCACCGGCUUAUCGAGGUCAGCCCCAAGUGGGCUCGCAAAAGGAAAGAGGAGGAGGAGGCCGGUGCUUCAGCGUAG